GGCUCAGGACGAACGCUGGCGGCGUGCUUAACACAUGCAAGUCGAACGAUGAACCACUUCGGUGGGGAUUAGUGGCGAACGGGUGAGUAACACGUGGGCAAUCUGCCCUUCACUCUGGGACAAGCCCUGGAAACGGGGUCUAAUACCGGAUACCACUACCGCAGGCAUCUGUGGUGGUUGAAAGCUCCGGCGGUGAAGGAUGAGCCCGCGGCCUAUCAGCUUGUUGGUGAGGUAAUGGCUCACCAAGGCGACGACGGGUAGCCGGCCUGAGAGGGCGACCGGCCACACUGGGACUGAGACACGGCCCAGACUCCUACGGGAGGCAGCAGUGGGGAAUAUUGCACAAUGGGCGAAAGCCUGAUGCAGCGACGCCGCGUGAGGGAUGACGGCCUUCGGGUUGUAAACCUCUUUCAGCAGGGAAGAAGCGAAAGU
rnacentral:rRNA from 1 species